rnacentral:lncRNA from 1 species
ACAGGCGGGCGGGGCUACCCAUCGGAACGGACGCCCCAGUCUGAAGCAGGACUCCCCGGGCUGGGCGGGGCUCCCGCCUCUUGGGCGGGAGUUAGCGCAUCUGGGCGGGGCUACUCGUUAGAACAAACUCCCCGGUCCGAAGCGAGGCUCUGGAGUCUGGGGCGGGGCUUAGCGCGAUUGGGGCGGGGGUCUGAAGAGAUUAGAGCGGUUGGGACAAUCCUGGAUUGAAAAGUUUAGCCUACACUGGUUUAGAACUCACAUGCUUCUAGCCUCUACCACCACUUGCUGAGAUUCAAGACUUCUUGAACAGCCACUACCAUAAAUGCUCUGGUCCAUCUCGUACGUGUUCCCGUGUUGCAGGCGGCUGUUGGGGAAGAUGACCAGGACUGAAAACAGAGCAUGCUUUGUAUCAGAGCUUCUCAGACUAUAGACUACCCUAGAAACAUCUGGGAGCCCUGUUUCAAGACAAAGCUUCAUUCCAUAGAUCUACAAUGACCUGACAUGGCUUCUGACAGAACAAGCUCCUGGCAAUACCAGUGCCUGACUAAGUUAUAGAAUAUAAUUCCUCAAUUACUUGAAAAUUCUUCAAUCAUAUCGUGCAUAAAUAUGACAAAAAGAAGGUGAGGAUCAGGCCCAGGGCAUAUUCAGAACUGAAUACUUCUUAGUCCUUGGAAUGCCCCAUCCAGAGAGAGCAGAGACAACUCAGCAGCUGAAGAGAAGAGCAGUAUUCUGCUCCUAGGCUUGUUCAUGAAGCCUAUCAUCCAUCCUGCUCCCUGCAUAUCAGGCUCAACCACCAAACCAUGCUGUUUUAGAAUCUGGACAGAUGCCACAAUGUGUGUACUCAAGAGGAACACAAGUGAGAUACUGUCCAUGGUGAUUGACUUGUCUUGAUGAACUGUUCUGUGUAGGCUUUUGUUUCUCCAUCUAUAAGAUAGAUGGUUUUAAAGGACUGGUUCUUCUAGCUCUCACCUUACAGAAAAACUAUUAAAGGAAAUCAAGAAUGCAGGCAUGGGCAAUGUUCGGUAUUCUUAGCCACUGAGAUUACAUUUUAAUCUAGUAAGCAUGGUUAUCACCAAGAAAAAAAAACCUACAGUCAAUGCUGACAAGGAGUUGAGGAAAGAGGAACCCUUGUUCACUGUUGGUGGCAAUGUGGUCUGGUGAAGUUUUUAUGGAAAUCAAUGUAUAGGGUCCUCAAAAACUCAAACGAGUAUUACCAUAUGGCUAGGUGAUAGCAUUCCUGUGCAAAUAUCCAAAGGCAUCUGAGUUAAUAUACCACAGAGCCAUUUGUGUACCUAUUUAUUGCUGUUCUCUUUACAAAAGCCAAAAUAUUGAAGGAAUCACCCUUGAUGUCUAUUAGCAGAUGACUUGCUAGUAAAAAUAUGGUAAUAUGGUGCAUAUAUACAAUGGAAUGCAAUUUAUCCAUAAAGAAAAGUGGAAUUAUGUCACUUGUAAGAAAUGAAUAUAAUUUAGGACCAUCAAAAGAAAAUAAAGCUGAAUCAGAACAACAAAUGCCAUGUUUUCUCUUGUAUAUAAACUAAGAAUGUAUGAAUGUGUGUAUGUAUGUGAGCAAAGUACAAUGAUACACAUGUAUUACUGUCAUUAUUAAACUCAUUAUUUUAUGUACCAAUUAAAAUUAUAAAAAGUAUGACUACUUCA